UACAGAGGUGGCAAGCGUUGUUCGGAAUUACUGGGCGUAAAGGGCGCGUAGGCGGUUUCGUAAGUCCUGUGUGAAAUCCCCCGGCUCAACUGGGGAACUGCACAGGAAACUGCGAGGCUUGAGUUCGGGAGAGGGAAGCGGAAUUCCGGGUGUAGCGGUGAAAUGCGUAGAUAUCCGGAGGAACACCGGUGGCGAAGGCGGGCUUCC
rnacentral:rRNA from 1 species